GUCCUCGCUUCAGCAGCACAUAUACUAAAAUUGGAAUGAUACAGAGAAGAUUAGCAUGGCCCCUGUGCAAGGAUGACAUGCAAAUUCGUGAAGCAUUCCAUUUUUUA
ensembl:snRNA U6 U6 spliceosomal RNA